CAAAUCAUCAUGGCCCUUAUGUCCUGGGCUACACACGUGCUACAAUGGCCUGUACAAAGCGAUGCGAAACAGUGAUGUGAAGCAAAACGCAUAAAGCAGGUCUCAGUCCAGAUUGAAGUCUGAAACUCGACUUCAUGAAGUUGGAAUCGCUAGUAAUCGUAUAUCAGAAUGAUACGGUGAAUACGUUCUCGGGCCUUGUACACACCGCCCGUCACACCACCCGAGUUGAGGAUACCCGAAGCUAUUAUUCUAACCCGCAAGGGAGGAAGGUAUCUAAGGUAUGUUUAGUGAGGGGGGUGAAGUCGUAACAAGGUAGCCGUACUGGAAAGUGUGGCUGGAUCACCUCCUUU
rnacentral:rRNA from 1 species